GAUAGGAUUAGUGGAUCAACAGGUAUUCAGCAUUUUAAAUCAGUAGAUGCUUUUGGUUGCCAGUGGAUGUUUGGGUCUUUAUGGGUUAAUUUAGCAUCAACAGACGUCACAUAAAUCAGGUUGUGCUAUCCUCCCAGGAACAGUUGACAGGAAGGGCCAAUAAAACUGUUUUCAGUGGAAUCUGGAAUGAGACACAAAGGUUACAGACGACAACAUGACAGAAUGUUAUUUACAAGGGCUUGCAAUGCCAGACCUACCAGGUUUAAGCCAGAUUUAAGUCAAAUAGCCACCAAUCUAAUCCCCUUUGUACAUUUUUGGAAAACACAGAUACCUGAUGUCAACUCAGAACAUCUGGUCUGUUUGUGCCUUUACUUCAACAGGCUUUGGUUUAAUGGAAAAGACACAAAAUCCAGGAUGUUCUGGCCGCAGAAAAGUUACCAAAUGCAUCAUGUGUUAUUUAUUUACUUUUCCUGUCUUUACUCAAGCACUUGCGUCCUUCACUCGACACCACAUAUCAGCCUGUUAAAAGUUUGCAACAUGGAUUUAUACAUAUUGAGAAAUGUUCAUAUGAAACCAGUUUUUUUGGUCCAAAAACAUUGAUAUUCUAUGUAUCUGUGGUUUGCAGAAAAGUACGACAACAUUUUAUUGUGAUGAGUUGGGAUGAAUCAGCUUUUACUUUAUGAUACUAGGUGUUUCAUUCAAUCUGUUUUUAUUCACAUUUUCACUUGGGGAUUUUUAUAAAACUCCCAAGUUAAUAUGUUUUGGAAAGGUGGGAGAGUUGCUGUUUUCUUAUUAAUCCAAUUAUUGGCAUUAGCCUUUUAGUGAUAAACCAGUCUUCACUCACUUAAAAUAAGAAAUAAACCAGAAUAUCAUAUAUUAAAUGUAAAACAGCAAUGAGUUACAAACAUGGAUGAAGAGCUGCAGAAGGAAAUGUUAGAUGAGCCCUUUGACAAAUUAUGGAAGAGUUUAUAAGAACAUUAUGAUCCAGAUCAGUGGUUCGAUUAAGGAACCAAAAGCUAAAACAGCUUCUGGUCAUCUAUCAUCAUAUCUUAUUAUAUGAUUUAUAUGAAGUAAUGUAAAAGUACACUUUAUAUCUAAUAGACAAAUUGUUAAAGAUGGUGAUGAACCGGCAAUUUUUGGAAAUUGACUUAAAUUUUGCACCCUGCAUCCCAAUAGCCCACAACUAGCACAAGUCAACAUAAUGUCUUGACAUAUUUGCCAAUUUUCUGCACGCAGAACCCUUCUCAUGUCUGGCGUUGCCUUUUGACUUUGACUUGAACGUGUGUGAUGACUUUAACACUAUUUCUGACUGACUGCUUCACUCCUUUCACUGAAACAACAGCGUGAGAAGUUUACUUUCCUUUAGUAAAACGCUCCAAGUAAAACAGAAUUUGAGUGCAUUUAUGUUUCCUGUUUCCAGACAGUUAUGCUGAUUUGUACACACUUUGUCAGAUAGUUUUAUGGGUGAUACAAAGUGUUAUUGAGAUAUUCUCUAUCCUUUUUUUAUGAUACAGUACAAGGUUCUUGUGGUGGAUAAUUAUCUUAACGUCUUUACUGAAUGUUUACCAAUCAUAAGCAGUUUGGGCCGUUUACCUGUUAUUAAACGAUAAAAUGUAGUAAACUUUCUUUGUCUUAAAGUGACUUAGAGCCAAUACAGUGUUAAAUCGUGUUAUGUAUGCAUUUGUACAAGUGCACUCCUUGUCCUCUGCUAUUAAUUUGUAUUUCUGAACUCCAACAAGGGCCUCGUUGUGACGUACAUGGUUAAAAAAUGCCAGCUAAACGCCUUGUCGUGACUUGAAUCGAAACACGUGUUGGCUAAAAUACAAAGUUCCCAACAGCUGACAGCAGAGUCAAAAACACGGCCAACAUUACAAGUCCAGUGUUUUCCAAGAUGCUGUGCUGUACAUCAAACCACAGUGAUAGAUUAAAGUUAGCAGGUCCUUUUUGGCCUGUUAGGUCACACAGUUUCCUGCUCAUCUUUGACAGGAAACAUGACUUAUUUUAUCUUGAAAGGGCGUUCACAUUCUCAGGAUCGCUUCACUUGUUCUUAGUCCUGCCUCUUUCCAAACCCCCUGCUGAUAUUUGUUAGUAGAAGGACUUUCUUAUUGACUGAAUUUAGCCUUUAAAUCUCCUGUUUGUGCCUUAACACUGAAAAUAAAUAAGAAAUGUAAGAAUUUCAAGACACCAAUCUCUAUUGAAACAUUAAUUGAUUCUUUUUUUUUCUGUUAACUUUUAUCCCACAUUAGAGUAGUUUUGACUAAAACCCAUCUACGUCAUUGACAUUAACCAUUUUCAUAACAAAGUAUUGAUUCAGGUUAUACACAGCAACCAACUAAAUUUUAUCGUUUUGUUACCAAUGUCAUUCUUUGUAUACCAUUGUAAGUACAUGUACAGUAUGUGUGUAUAUAAAUAUAUAUUAUUCCAUAAUAAUCACCAAAGGGAAAGUGUUUUGUGUUUGUAAAUGCAACUGUGUAAAACUGUCCAGAUGUACUGUAGGUUUUGUUUAUGGACUUCAUGUCAUGAUUAUCUUGUUUGUAUUGUGCGUUUCCUGUAGACAAUAUAUAUGCAGUUAUUAAUUUGUUUGUGACCCAGAACUAGAUUAUCCAUGUGUGCAGUGCCUUAAACAUGUUUGUCAUUAACAUCCUCAUUUUACACUUGCCUUAAGAUUAAUGUCAGUGUUUGGGAUAUUUCACUUUUGUCCAGUAUCUUCAGAAGACAUGGGAGCUUUGUAGUAUUAAAUACACAUCACAGUCUAAAGUAUUAAAGAACUGAAUACAACGUGACUGACUGACAAAACCUAUUAAAGUUGUUUUACGUGAUAAGUCAUGAUCUUUGUGUAAAGGUUAGAAUAAUAGUUUUGGCUUAGAAUGAUGUCCUGUUCACACUAAUUCGGAUGUUUUAAGAAACAUUUUUUUUCUCUGUUUGACCGCCUCAUCCACAUGUCAGAGGGGUUUAGCUCACAACAGUGAAGCAUUCUAAAGUGUAGAUUUUUAAACUCUGGUUGUGUUAAAAAAAAGAACCUGAGAUAUUGGAAAACAAUGGCAUCACACCCCAUGUUUGUCAUCAUUUUUACUUUGUCACAUAGACAGAACUUCAUUUUUUGUAAAAAUGGAGGAAGAAAAAUAUCCGUGUUAGUGUGGACAGGACAUAAACCUGUUUAUAUUGAUGCCUCCACUACACAUCCAAAACAAUACAUUAUAUUUUAACAAUGACAUAGAAUAUUUUAAAAUCCUUUUAAGCAUUGAAGUAUGGAAUCAAACUUUAUUUUUGAAAGUAAAAAUCCAAAUUCUGAUACAGGAAAAUGCAUUCAAUGGACUGUAACUGUUUUAACACCAAACUAAGUUGUACCUAAAAUCCACAAUAGAAUAGUAACGUUUUUUGGACCAAUGACUGGUUUUCAUAGCUUUAGGUCUGACUUGUUAUUCCAAAGUGAAACACUGCUUAAUGAUUUGAUCAUAGGCUCAGAUUGAAUAAACCGUAAAAGCAGUAGUAUAUGCAUUUUGAUUUGGGACACAUGUGAUUUCCAGACUUACUAUCUAUACUGUAGGGGCCAAUAUCAAUGGAUGUCCAGCCAGAAGUGUUGAUAUUCCAGCAACAAUAAAAAAAACAUGAAAAAAGUCUG